GAUGAACGCUGGCGGCGUGCCUAAUACAUGCAAGUCGAGCGAACAGACGAGGAGCUUGCUCCUCUGACGUUAGCGGCGGACGGGUGAGUAACACGUGGAUAACCUACCUAUAAGACUGGGAUAACUUCGGGAAACCGGAGCUAAUACCGGAUAAUAUAUUGAACCGCAUGGUUCAAUAGUGAAAGACGGGUUUGCUGUCACUUAUAGAUGGAUCCGCGCCGCAUUAGCUAGUUGGUAAGGUAACGGCUUACCAAGGCAACGAUGCGUAGCCGACCUGAGAGGGUGAUCGGCCACACUGGAACUGAGACGCGGUCCAGACUCCUACGGGAGGCAGCAGUAGGGAAUCUUCCGCAAUGGGCGAAAGCCUGACGGAGCAACGCCGCGUGAGUGAUGAAGGUCUUCGGAUCGUAAAACUCUGUUAUUAGGGAAGAACAAAUGUGUAAGUAACUAUGCACGUCUUGACGGUACCUAAUCAGAAAGCCACGGCUAACUACGUG
rnacentral:rRNA from 1 species